rnacentral:rRNA from 1 species
AUGGGGUACACGUACACGCCCACGUACUACUCGGGCCUGCAGGAGACCAUCGCGUCCGUCUGCAAGUCCAUCUUCAGCCGCCCCGGCAAGCGCCUCACCGCCGACCAGGCCGCCGCGCGCCGCCACGCCGACGCGCUCAAGUGGCAGCAGGACUCCUUCCACCGCAUCCUCCACCUCUCCGCGCUCCACCGCGAGGGCAUCGUCCCCGCCGCCGACGUCCACGCCUUCCGCGCAUCCCUCCUCGCCGCCCUCUCCGCGCCGCCGCAGGGCCCCGCCGACCACCCGCCCAUCCUCCGCGACAAGCUCCUCUUCCUCCAGGAGCUGCUCCGCGCCAAGUGCGUCUCGCCGGCCGAGUACAACGCCGCCAAGAGGUCCCUCGUGCAGCGCCUCGCCGCGCUCGGCGUCGUCGUCGACUGCCCCGACGCGGACGAUGCCGGCGGCGUGCCGGCGACCAGGUCCUCCGCGGAAGAGUGGUCGGAGAUCGACCUCCAGGACCCACCGCCGCCGCCCUCCGCCGAGAAGCCCAAGCACAAGGCCUUCAUCUCGCCAUGGAAGAGCCGAGGCAAGAAGGAGCAGGAGCGGCCGCCGCUGGCCCAGGUGGACCAGAACAACCACGCUUCAGUCCUCAUGGCCGAGAUCCCGCCGUCAGAGGCGACGCCCGCCGGGAAGGCCGACAAGGGGAAGAGGAGGCACCUGACGGCCAUGUUCCACGGCAGCGGCUGCGGCGAGAACAAGGAGCCUGCGGCGGCGGUGGAGGGAUCCGCCGAUGAGAAAGGCAAGAAGAAGAGCUCUUGGGGGUUCAAUGGGCUCAAGAAGUGGAAGAAGUCAGGCGCCGGUGGCAAUGAGGAUGCCCCUGCCGGCGGCGACUCCGCCCCGCCGCGAUCUUCAUACAGUGAGUGCCGCCUUGAGGCGAGCCCCGCCCCGGAUGCCAAGAGGGCCAAGAAGAAGCUUCAUGCUGCUGCAGCUGCUGCCGCCGGCGAUGUCUCUGCUUCCGAUUUGGCGAAUGAUAAGGUUUUGGUGGAGGAGACAAAGAAGGAGCUCUCAAGGAUUCAGGCCGAGCUAUCAUCGACGAAUCGGAACCUCAACUUCUCGGAUCAACAGAUUGAGGCCAUCUCAACAAAGCUCCCACUAGACAAGUCUGACCUCAAGACAUUCUUCCCAAAGGCAUGGUGUGACCAGAACGGGGAAGGCGUGAUCGACGCCGCGCAAAAGGAGUUCAAGGGGCACGUCGAGGAGAUGGAGAAGCAGAGGGGGGAGGAGGACAUCGCCGGCGGUGACGAGGGCUGGGCGGCUGCUUUUGAUGAGGACAACUUCAACCCCAGGGCCUUCUCAGAUGCCAAGGGGAAGAAAGUUCAAGAGAGCCUUGACAGUGAACAUUUCACCAACCCUUUCUAUGAUGAGAAGAAGAACAGCAACCCAUUCGGGAGCCAAAGCUACAACUGA